rnacentral:rRNA from 1 species
UACGAAGGGGGCUAGCGUUGCUCGGAAUGACUGGGCGUAAAGGGCGCGUAGGCGGCUUGUAUAGUCGGAUGUGAAAUUCCUGGGCUUAACCUGGGGGCUGCAUACGAGACGUAUGGGCUUGAGUGCGGAAGAGGGUCGUGGAAUUCCCAGUGUAGAGGUGAAAUGCGCAGAUAUCGGGAGGAACACCAAUGGCGAAGGCAGCUCGCUGGGACGGUACUGACGCUGAGGCGCGAAAGCGUGGGGAGCAAACAGG